rnacentral:ncRNA from 19 species
GUCGGCCGCGCCCUACCGGUCCACCGCAGCGUCCGCCGCCACGUGCGGCGGGCAUCUCCGUCCCCCGCGGGGUCCGACGUGCCCGGGCGAGCGGGCACGUUGGCGCGGGCCGAUUUCGCGCCCCGGACGUUUACGUCCGGGGCGCUUUUGU